rnacentral:rRNA from 1 species
CCUACGGGAGGCAGCAGUGAGGAAUAUUGGUCAAUGGGCGAAAGCCUGAACCAGCCAAGUAGCGUGCAGGAUGACGGCCCUACGGGUUGUAAACUGCUUUUAUACGGGAAUAACGCGCCUUACGUGUAGGUCUUUGCAUGUACCGUAUGAAUAAGGACCGGCUAAUUCCGUGCCAGCAGCCGCGGUAAUACGGAAGGUCCGGGCGUUAUCCGGAUUUCUUGGGUUUAAAGGGAGCGUAGGCCGCAUGUCAAGCGUGCUGUGAAAUGUCCGGGCUCAACCCGGGCCUUGCAGCGGGACCUGGCGUGCGUGAGUACGCGGAAAGCAGGCGGAAUUCGUCGUGUAGCGGGGAAAUGCUUAGAUAUGACGAAGAACCCCGAUUGCGAAGGCAGCUUGCUGCAGCGGAACUGACGCUGAGGCUCGAAAGCGCGGGUAUCGAACAGGAUUAGAUACCCGGGUAGUC